rnacentral:lncRNA from 1 species
UGGUUUAUAUGUGCACGUCCGGCCUCCAGUCCAGACGUCACCCACAGCGCUAAUUGGGCCCGACCUAUUGGAUGAUUAGCGGGUGAAGUGAGGACAGGUGUGUGCACUGGGGACCGCGCUCAGCGAGGGGACGCUCAGGCUGGGGUUGAAUCAUUCCAGUGUGUCCUCAUCCCUUCUUACCUUCCUUUCGCACUCUCUUAUUUCCUUUUUUUCUCCUUCCAUCCAUUCUUACAAUUCGUUAUUUUUCCUUCCUUCAUUAUUCGGGACAAGUAAAUAUCUAAUGAUCAUGUUCUGGAAUAUGUCGUGGAAAAUGACAUCUACUAUAAACUCAGACCAUGAACGCUAGUGAUGGGUCGUUCGCGAAUGAACGGCUCUUUUACGCAAAUUUGUUUCAGUGAGUAAAAAAAAUCCAGACAUUGUUUUGCAGGCCAUCUAAUAAUUUGGCCAGGUAAAAAUGUAUUUGAAUGUGCAUUUCACUAUGACAUACUGGUAGCCUACCUAUUUGGGAUUUACAUGGGAGAUUUGCAAUUUGUCAUGGUUAUAUGUCGAUUUUUAAACAUUUUCAACGAAGAGCCGUUUGGGAGCCAAAUGAGCCGGCUCUUUUACGUCAACGGAGCCAAAUGAGCCGACUAACCGAAAAUAAUCGGAAUGCCCAUCACUAGUGAACUAUGGCAGAAUUUCAUUAGUCUAAAGAAGCUUCCCCCCUGAGUCCUUUCCUUAAUCUGCACUGGUCUGAAAUAAUUUGAUUAAAAUGACAAGUAGCUAUUUAAUGGCACCUAAUCUUACGAAAUACAGACAGGGCUAUUUAAUAUUUACUUGUGUGUAAUCAGCAUUGACAAUUGACUGAUAUAAAUCCAGAAUGAUUAUGGGGGUUUGGUUUCACUUAUUGUGUUGGUUUCAGUUCUUGGGCGGGAGGGCGUGUCUUCUAAACAGAGUACAGCUGCUGAUGUGCUGUGUACUGUAGUUGGUGGUGAAGCAGUCUGAAGUAUAAGAGAAAUGUCGAGAGGAAGACAAAAUCAACGCUUUAAGAAACUGAUCAUCCUUCGAGGUUUGCCAGGAGUUGGAAAGACAAGCAAGGCAGAAAUGCUCUGUGAUGAAUAUGCAGGACUUGGACUGGAAGGAGAAAUUUUCUCCACUGACAGGUACCAUGAAAGAACCGACUACACCAAAGGAAACUUUCAACGCAACCAUCGGCGGAAUAGAGAGGAUGGUGUGUAUUGGGUGGCUGGGGGCAGGGGCAGAAACAAUCUGCUCAUGAUGUCAUUACACACACAUAGUUUGUUCUUCUUUAAAGUACUGGUACUCUGGCUUGUUUUGACAGUUUUUAAAGCCUUGAACAGAGGAGUGGAUCCGAUCAUCGUUGACAACACAAACAUUUCUCUUUGGGAGAUGUGGCCCUAUAUCCACAUGGUGAGGACGUGUGUGUGUGUGUGUGUGUGUGUGUGUGUGUGUGUGUGUGUGUGUGUGUGUGUGAUAUGCAUAUGAUUUCUAGUUUAGUUAGUCCCAGCUACCAGGCAUUGCAGAGAUAUUUUAAUGUUAUUUUUGUAACUCUCCACUUAUUUUCUAGUCAUUGUCACAUCCUUUGUACAUGAGAACCUAAACAGCAUCUGACUCACUACAAGACUGGUUGAAGCUGGUUUCCAGAUGACUUCCUACUAGGUGGCGCUAGAGGCGGAGUCAGAUAGUUUCCUCUUGGUUAGACAUGUUGUUGAUAAAUCUGACACUUUAUUCUACUUUUUACGAUGUUAUUAAUAUCCCAAUUGGUCUUCUGACAGACAAAUGGACAGAUUAAACAGAUUCAUGUCAUAAUAAAGUAUUCUUUCUCUCAGGGGAUGCGACAGGGUGACUAUGACAUCACUAUGAUGGAGCUGCCUAAAGGCUAUCCUCAGGAAAAAAUCUCCAUCAACAAGCUGUACAGGUCAGAAACAACCUCUUCAUUAACAGCCUACAUUCUCACAGUGUAUACACAGUACAUGUGCAUUGGGGUAGGAUUGUAUACUUGUUUAUCAGUUUUACAGCCGACAAUAGAUUGUUAUUACUUAUCUAUAAAUUACACAUUGGUUAUCAAUUCAAUGAUAAAAAAGCUGUGUUAUCUCCCUAUAGAUGGUGUAAGCAUAAGAUCCCCAAGCGUAAGUUCAGGUACUUUGAGGCUCGCUGGGAAGAAGCUUACAACAUCUGGCAUGUAUUUAACGACAGCUACUCCAUAAACCGCUGGAAGAGAAGCAAAGAGAAAUGGAACGUCCAGUGAUGAAGACAUGCUGGCCUUCUCCCCCCCCCAAAGUCCCCAAAAUCCAGAACAAAUUCAAGAAAAUGUACAGUAUUAUAUAGAGCCCUUAUUGCAUGGAACUUCCUUCCAUCUCAUAUUACUCAAAUAAACAGCAAACCUGGUUUCAAAAAACAGAUAAAGCAACACCUCGUGGCACAACGCCUCUCCCCUAUUUGACCUAGAUAGUUUAUGUGUAUGUAUUGAUAUGUAGGCUACGUGUGCCUUUUAAAAAUGUAUGUAGUUCUGUCCUUGAGCUGUUCUUGUCUAAUGAUGUUCUGUAUUAUGUCAUUCUGUAUUAUGUUUCAUGUUUUGUGUUGACCCCAGGAAGAGUAGCUGCUGCUUUUGCAACAGAUAAUGGGGAUCCUAUUAAAAUACCAA